rfam:Octopus bimaculoides Scaffold67049_contig_15, whole genome shotgun sequence.
AGCUUUGCGCAAAGAAGCGGUACCAUGGCCAAUGAGGUGAAUCCGAAGCGUGGUUAUUGCUAGUUGAAAACUAUGGA